rnacentral:lncRNA from 1 species
GACCACUGCCCUUUCCUCGAUCUUGAUAUCUAUAUCACUAACGGAAAGCUUAAUACUAAAAUUUAUGAUAAAAGAGAUCAUUUUUCAUUUCCUAUCGUUAAUUAUCCAUUUUUAUAUGGUGACGUUCCAUUGUCACCAUCUUACGGUGUUUUUAUAUCUCAACUUGUACGAUUAACUCGUGUAUGUAACAAUGUUUUAGAUUUUAACGAGAGAAAUUUGUGUAUUACUGAAAAAUUAUUACACCAGGGUUUUCGAUAUCACAAACUAGUCAAAACAUUUACUAAAUUUUAUCAUCGGUAUAAGGACAUCAUUCGUAAAUAUAGCUCAACAUGCAGACUUCUUAUAAGUUUAAGUAUUUCACAUCCUAUUUUUUAUGGAAAUAUUCUUUUUAAAGCACAAAAAUGUCAGUAUUCACCUCAGAAACUAACAAAACCUUUCAAUAGACUUAUCAAGAAGGGAUAUAGUUACGAUACUGUUGUCAGGUCACUAAAGAUUGCUUAUUUUGGCGUUAAUAUUGAUUCACUUAUAUGUUAGUGACCUUCUGCUGUUGUUUUUUCUAUGGUCGGGUUGUUGUCUCUUUGACACAUUCCCCAUUUCCAUUCUCAAUUUUAUUUAAACAUUUCAAAAGUCAUCUGGGGGCA